GACGAACGCUGGCGGCGUGCUUAACACAUGCAAGUCGAACGGAAAGGCCCUGCUUUUGUGGGGUGCUCGAGUGGCGAAUGGGUGAGUAACACGUGAGUAACCUGCCCUUGACUUUGGGAUAACUUCAGGAAACUGGGGCUAAUACCGGAUAGGAGCUCCUGCUGCAUGGUGGGGGUUGGAAAGUUUCGGCGGUUGGGGAUGGACUCGCGGCUUAUCAGCUUGUUGGUGGGGUAGUGGCUUACCAAGGCUUUGACGGGUAGCCGGCCUGAGAGGGUGACCGGCCACAUGGGGACUGCGAUACGGCCCAGAAUCCUACGGGAGGCAGCAGUGGGGAAUAUUGCACAAUGGGCGGAAGCCUGAUGCAGAAACGCCGCGUGCGGGAUGACGGCCUUCGGGUUGUAAACCGCUUUCGCCUGUGACGAAGCGUGAGUGACGGUAAUGGGUAAAGAAGCACCGGCUAACUACGUG
rnacentral:rRNA from 1 species